CAGGAUCUGGCAGCAGGCUGAAUAUGUAGGUUCAUCCAACAUAGGAUCAUCAAUCACCAUGGAUCCAGAUUCCUGUGUGUGCCAAUCCUGUCUAUAGCUGUAACCAAAGAAAUUUAUCUCCAACUUCCUGCGAAUCACUGAAAUCGCAAAUAAACAACAGCAGCAAAAAACCAUUUAGGCCAGUAAUUGACUUUCUCCCCUUCUCCAAGAGAAAUAAUGUACUGCAUACUGUAAUAGAUCUAAUUUCAUGGUAAUCAACCCGUAUUUCCCUCAAUUAUACCUCAUUACUCUUAAUUACACACGAUCAUCCUAAACUCUCCUUGCUUCAAGGUUUAAUCCAUUCAUAUUUGUAUAUGUUAUUGUGUUCUUUAUGCCUUUGCAUAUUAUACAUGCCCUGGAUUUUGUUUAUAUGAUGUGAUAACGUAUUUAUCUCUGUUUUGGACAUUGUUUUGGGGCAUUUACAUUGAAAAGGAUUGCUGUGCAAAAACAAAAGGUGUGUGGCUGAAAUCUCUAUACUAACUUGAUUGUGGCUGUGUACCUUCUAGUCAACUUUUGCUUGCUGUGACUGCAUCCUUUGGAUUUUCUUGGAAACAUUUAUUCAUAGGAAACUUCUUAAUGCAAAUUGCCUAUGAAUAAAUUGGGAAAUCAAAGGCAGAGAGAGUGAUUUUCCCAAGAUCACCUAGUUGGCUUUCAUGGCUGAGCAUGGAUUCCAGUCCUGUAUUCUAAGCUAAUUCUCACCCUAUCCGCUGUAAUUUACUCUUGACAUGUAAGAAUGUGUAGCAUCUAUUGAAGAAAUAAAUGUUUUGUC
rnacentral:lncRNA from 11 species